GAUAAGGAUUUACAGAGCAGAAGGAAUCACUCUUGGGAAGUUGGGUUCAUGCUGUUGCGACAAGUGUCAGCUUCUACUCACAGAUACAAAAUACAUUUUAAGGCACCUUUUACAUAACACAAUUCUUGCCUUUUCUAAAUUGGCGCUACUAGACACGCAGACGGAUCAGUUUUGCUGAAUAGGAGAAUUAGCUCUGUUUAGUCAAAGUAUCAUUCAACCGAAGGAUGUUUCUGACUUGGCUCUCCGCUGUUAUACUCACAGCUAAAAGCACCUACGGAGCAGAUUCAGUGACCCAAACUGAAGGCAGCGUUACCAUCUCCCAAGGAGAUCCGGUGCGUCUGAACUGUACUUAUCAAUUUUCUGUCCCUGCUUAUCCCUUCUGGUACGUGCAGUUUCCCAACCAGCCCCCCAGACUCUUCCUGAGGGACCUGGGAAGGGAGAACUCGGAUGAAGGGAUCAGAAAAGGGUUCGAUGCCACCCACGAUAAAAAGCUCAAAUCCUUCCACCUGUGGAAACCGUCCAGCGAACUGAGCGACUCCGCGACCUAUUACUGCUCCGCGAGCGACACAGUGACACGGACCAGAGAGGGAGCUGAGCAAAAACCGCGCAGGGACUGAAUGUG